rnacentral:rRNA from 1 species
CCUACGGGAGGCAGCAGUGAGGAAUAUUGGUCAAUGGGCGCGAGCCUGAACCAGCCAAGUCGCGUGAGGGAAGACGGUCCUGUGGAUUGUAAACCUCUUUUGUCAGGGAGCAAAAGACGCCACGCGUGGCGUUCAGAGAGUACCCGAAGAAAAAGCAUCGGCUAACUCAGUGCCAGCAGCCGCGGUAAUACGGAGGAUGCGAGCGUUAUCCGGAUUUAUUGGGUUUAAAGGGUGCGCAGGCGGAAGAUCAAGUCAGCGGUAAAAUUGAGAGGCUCAACCUCUGCGAGCCGUUGAAACUGGUUGUCUUGAGUGAGUGAGAAGUAUGCGGAAUGCGUGGUGUAGCGGUGAAAUGCAUAGAUAUCGCGCAGAACUCCGAUUGCGAAGGCAGCAUACCGGCGCUCAACUGACGCUGAGGCACGAAAGUGUGGGUAUCGAACAGGAUUAGAUACCCCGGUAGUC